rnacentral:rRNA from 1 species
GAGACCGAUAGCGAACAAGUACCGCGAGGGAAAGAUGAAAGAGCACCCCGGAAGGGGAGUGAAAUGAGAACCUGAAAUCAUUAGGGUGGAAGCAUCUGGGGGUGCGAUGUGGGGAUGGUUAUAAGCCAGUUCCUUUGAUCGAUCCCAGCCGCGCAUCGCACGAGACAGGUCCGACACGGAUCUGAAACGAAUCUCGUGACACGAUGAGGGGCUGUGUAGAUAGAGACAGAGUCAGGCAUGUCCUGCAUGACCUGAUCACGAGGAUCGAUCCAACAUCCUCCGAUGACCCGUCUUGUAACACGGACCAAGGAGUCUGGCAGGUCUGCGAGUCAGUGUGCGGCGAGCCACACGGGCGUAAGAAACCUGACCAGGGGUUGGACACAUGGACCAUGCCGAACUGAGGCACGGUCCAUGUGUCCAACCUUGACCGGUCGCCCUAUACGCGGAGCCUUAUUACCGCUGAUGCAUCCCGGUAUAGCCAUACCGGGCUCGCUGCGGAAGUGCGCAGUCAUGCGUUUGAGAGCUUCGCGUCUGAGCGAUCCGGUGGAGCAGGCCUCCCAGGACCCGAAAGGUGGUGAUCUAGGCCUGGGCAGGGCGAAGCCUGGCUAACGCUUGGUGGAGGCCCGAAGGAGUGCUGACGUGCAAAUCGCUUCUCUGACCUGGGCCUAGUGGCGAAAGACCAAUCGAACCACCUAGUAGCUGGUUCCCUCCGAAGU